rnacentral:rRNA from 1 species
UCGGGAAUUUUGGGCAAUGGGCGAAAGCCUGACCCAGCAACGCCGCGUGAGGGAUGAAGUAUUUCGGUAUGUAAACCUCGAAAGAAUGGGAAGAAUAAAUGACGGUACCAUUUAUAAGCUCCGGCUAACUACGUGCCAGCAGCCGCGGUAAUACGUAGGGAGCGAGCGUUGUUCGGAUUUACUGGGCGUAAAGGGCGCGUAGGCGGCGCGGUAAGUCACUUGUGAAAUCUCUGAGCUUAACUCAGAACGGCCAAGUGAUACUGCUGUGCUAGAGUGCGGAAGAGGCAACCGGAAUUCUUGGUGUAGCGGUGAAAUGCGUAGAUAUCAAGAGGAACACCUGAGGCGAAGGCGGGUUGCUGGGCCGACACUGACGCUGAUGCGCGAAAGCCAGGGGAGCAAACG